ensembl:lincRNA 4933433G15Rik RIKEN cDNA 4933433G15 gene
ACCCCGGCCUCAGCUGAACCACCGCCCAGAGUGUCGUACCAAGUGACCCGACAGGGCGAGCGUCUGAACGGCUGCUGGGUCCCGUGCUGUCGGGAGGAAGUGGGCGAAGGCGAAUAUGCUAGGCCAGAUUGUUGAGCAGAUAAGCUCAGGGUGGUGUUGGGAAGGCCCCUGGGAUCGGUCCCCGGGGUCCGUUGGCUGCUUCUAGAAGCAUCCGCGGUAACCAGGGAGGUGAAUGAGUGAGGGGUCCUGGGAAAACUGAGCAAAAGCUCAGUCAGCAGGGUGGCUGGCUUGUUGAGAUCGCUGAGACCAGCCAGAGUUUGACAUAGGCGUGCUGAGAAAGGUAGAUAGCUGCCCUUCCAGUGCUUAGAUGAAAUUUAAGUAUUUAGGAACUUAGAUAUAAAAAGCACAGGGUUUGCCUGGGAGUAGUGGCACAUGAGUUAACUAGUCUAUGUAGUGCCAGGACAGCCUAUGCUAUAUAAUAGACCCUGUCUCAAAAGGCUGGGAGAGCUUGUUGUUGUACCCCUGUGAUCCCUGUCUUGGAGACCAGAAGGAUUAGAAGAUACAGUUAAUCCUUGGCUGCAUAGCUUUGAGGAAGUCCCUGCCUGAAAGCGCGAUAAGGUAUUUGCAAAUUCAUCUUCCUGGAUGAGAAUUUCUUGAAGUCGGUCAUGCGUAUAAACCAAGUGUGGUAGUGAACGCUUGUCAUCCCAGCAUUCUGCAGGCUGAGACAGGAGAAUCUUGAGGGCUUCAGAAAUUCACCAGCAUUGCUAAGAAAUCGUCUCCCCAGCCCCCAGCCUGGCAUCUCCCCGACCUCUGAAGAAGCUUUGUGCAGUUUCCCUUUUCUUCAGCUUAGAUACAUGGGUUUGGAGUUUACCACCCUGCCGGAGAGCUUCAGGACAUUUUCAGCCCAGUGACUGUGCUACAUGAGCUCAUCUGCCUUCUCAGAGUCUCGCGCUCUCCUGCAGCCGGGAUUCAUGAGAGCUCUACUCUGACAGCCCCAAGGAGCUGCUGCUACCCAUCUGGUGUCCUGAUGCCACCAGCAUCAUCCACGAAAUCUGUGGAUUGGCCCACUGCUGCCACUGAUUGCCUUCAGGCAAGUGGUCUCACCCCAUCUUAGGACAGCUCUCUCCUGCAGAGCCGUUCUGAGGUUUUUCAGGAGCUACUGUGUGGAAAGCACCUGGCAACAUAGAAGGCAUCUGGGGCGUUCAGGUCUCCAGCCAGACCUUCUUCCCACCAUGGCUUCCUGAAGUUGGCCAGGUCUCCUUCCACUCCCUGUAGUCAUUCAACAGUUACUCUUUAAUUACCUACUUUAUCUAAGGUAGAGCAUUUUCCCGGAGCUGGGAGCCAGCAUCUGUAACAUACAUGUGGCCUGAGUUUGAUGCUCAGCCAUGGGAGAGGGCAGGUAAAAAAACAUUCUCCAAACUUUCUGGGUAAUGUAGUUGGGAAGUGGUUGUUUUCGGUGUUUAAUGCAUCAGUUGACUUUU